rnacentral:rRNA from 1 species
UGGUAGAGGAGCAUUGUUAGCGCAGCGAAGCUGUACCGAUAAGGAGCAGUGGAGUGCUAAGAAGAGAGAAUGCCGGAAUGAGUAGCGAGAGGAAGGUGAGAAUCCUUCCGGCCGAAUAUCCAAGGUUUCCAGAGUAAAGCUGAUCUGCUCUGGGUAAGUCGGGGCCUAAGGCGAGGUCGAAAGACGUAGUCGAUGGAUAACAGGUGGAGAUUCCUGUACUAUGUGUACCCAGAACUGUGGGGACGCAUGUGGAGAGCAUGAGCCGGGAAAGAGAAAACCGGUACAAGCGGGGUAGGAGUAAGGACAGCAAAUCUUCCUUACAAUCCGAAGACGUAAUGUGGACCGAACUAAAGUAGGGAAGCAUGUGAGCCAUGUGCCAAGAAAAGCCGCUAUUGUGAUACACAUACCCGUACCGUAAACCGACACAGGUGGAUGAGGAGAGAAUCCUAAGGCCGACGGAAGAAGCAUUGUUAAGGAACUCGGCAAAAUGACCCCGUAACUUCGGGAGAAGGGGUGCCCUGUGAAAGCAGGGCCGCAGAGAAUAGGCUCAAGCAACUGUUUAGCAAAAACACAGGUCUAUGCGAAACCGAAAGGUGAGGUAUAUGGGCUGACGCCUGCCCGGUGCUGGAAGGUUAAGAGGAGAAGUCAGGCAACGAAGCUUCGAAUUUAAGCCCCAGUAAACGGCGGCCGUAACUAUAACGGUCCUAAGGUAGCGAAAUUCCUUGUCGGGUAAGUUCCGACCCGCACGAAAGGCGUAAUGAUUUGAGCACUGUCUCGACAAUGCAUCCGGUGAAAUUGAAGUACCAGUGAAGAUGCUGGUUACCUGCGCCAGGACGGAAAGACCCCAUGGAGCUUUACUCCAGCUUGAUACUGGGAUUCGAUACUGUAUGUACAGGAUAGGUGGGAGACGUUGAGCAUAGAACGCCAGUUUUAUGUGAGUCGCUGUUGGGAUACCACCCUUGCAGUAUUGGAUUUCUAACCUGCACCCAUGACCUGGGUGGGGGACAAUGUCUGGCGGGGAGUUUGACUGGGGCGGUCGCCUCCGAAAGGGUAUCGGAGGCGCUCAAAGGUUCCCUCAGAAUGGUUGGAAACCAUUCGAAGAGUGCAAAGGCAGAAGGGAGCUUGACUGUGACACCGACGGGUGGAACAGGUACGAAAGUAGGACUUAGUGAUCCGGUGGUAUAAAGUGGGAUUGCCAUCGCUCAACGGAUAAAAGCUACCCUGGGGAUAACAGGCUUAUCACUCCCAAGAGUUCACAUCGACGGAGUGGUUUGGCACCUCGAUGUCGGCUCAUCGCAUCCUGGGGCUGUAGCAGGUCCCAAGGGUUGGGCUGUUCGCCCAUUAAAGCGGUACGCGAGCUGGGUUCAGAACGUCGUGAGACAGUUCGGUCCCUAUCCGGCGCAGGCGGAGGAUAUUUGAGAGGAGCUGUCCUUAGUACGAGAGGACCGGGAUGGACGGACCACUGGUGUAUCUGUUGGCUAUCAGAGCCAUGGCAGAGUAGCCAAGUCCGGAAGGGAUAAACGCUGAAGGCAUCUAAGCGUGAAGCCCCCCUCAAGAUGAGAUAUCCCUCAGAAAUGAGUAAGACCCCUUGAAGACUACGAGGUAGAUAGGAAUGAGGUGUAAGCACAGCAAUGUGUUCAGCUGACAUUUACUAAUCGGUCGAGGGCUUGACCAA